rnacentral:rRNA from 1 species
UACUAGAGUAGCACUCGCAUAUCAAUAAGCGGAGGAAAAGAAACUAACAAGGAUUCCCCUAGUAACGGCGAGUGAAGCGGGAAGAGCUCAAAUUUGAAAUCUUAAAGGGUUUCCCUUUACGAAUUGUAGUUUAAAGAAGUGUUUUCUGUUGAGGUUUUGGUAAAAGUUCUCUGGAAUAGGACAUCAUAGAGGGUGAGAAUCUCGUAUUUGACCUUUACUUUCAACUUUGUGAUACACUUUCAAAGAGUCGGAUUGUUUGGGAAUGCGGUCCAAAAUGGGUGGUAAAUUUCAUCUAAAGCUAAAUAUUGGCGAGAGACCGAUAGCGAACAAGUACCGUGAGGGAAAGAUGAAAAGAACUUUGAAAAGAGAGUUAAACAGUACGUGAAAUUGUCAAAAGGGAAGCGUUUGACACCAGUGUUGUUUUUCUGAAAAUCAAUUAAAGAACUGUUUAUGCUAAGUUGUUUAGACUUUAUCAGCUAUCUGCUUAGUUUUGAGCUUUUCUUUAAUGCACUUUUCAGUUAACAAGUCAACAUCAAUUUCUUUUGCUGUAAAAAAGCUUGAGGAAGGUGGCUUGAGAUUCGUCUUAAGUGUUUAUAGCCUCUUGCCUAUGCAGUCGGAGAGAUUGAGGUCUGCAGCGUAGAUCCUUCGGGGCUAAAUGCAUUUGUGCUAAGUUAUAGCAUUUUAUAGACGACUUGUUGACUAUGAUUUGUCUUGUAGCUUACUCGCUUAUGUUAUUUUACCUACGCUUAGGAUGUUGAACUACUGAGACAUAGA